rnacentral:rRNA from 1 species
CCAGACUCCUACGGGAGGCAGCAGUGGGGAAUAUUGGACAAUGGACCAAGAGUCUGAUCCAGCAAUUCUGUGUGCACGAUGAAGUUUUUCGGAAUGUAAAGUGCUUUCAGUUGGGAAGAAAAAAAUGACGGUACCAACAGAAGAAGUGACGGCUAAAUACGUGCCAGCAGCCGCGGUAAUACGUAUGUCACAAGCGUUAUCCGGAUUUAUUGGGCGUAAAGCGCGUCUAGGUGGUUAUGUAAGUCUGAUGUGAAAAUGCAGGGCUCAACUCUGUAUUGCGUUGGAAACUGUGUAACUAGAGUACUGGAGAGGUAAGCGGAACUACAAGUGUAGAGGUGAAAUUCGUAGAUAUUUGUAGGAAUGCCGAUGGGGAAGCCAGCUUACUGGACAGAUACUGACGCUGAAGCGCGAAAGCGUGGGUAGCAAACAGGAUUAGAUACCCUGGUAGUCCACGCUGUAAACGAUGAUUACUAGGUGUUGGGGGUCGAACCUCAGCGCCCAAGCAAACGCGAUAAGUAAUCCGCCUGGGGAGUACGUACGCAAGUAUGAAACUCAAAGGAAUUGACGGGGGCCCGCACAAG